GGCUUAGAGGAGAUUCUCCAGUCCUCCAGAGUUCACCCCAUCUCUGUCACUUUGGCAGUGGUUAAAAAGGAGGGUUCCUGCCUGGAGACCCUGGCACUCACCCCUCGUGCUCACAGAGGGGACACUGGCAGAGACUGUCCUCCCCAAGGACGUUCCCUCUACCUGGACAGCCAGGUGUCGAGCCCACAGCACUGGCUCCCAGGCCCUCAGGCAGUGCCCCAGGCGGGACACCCAGCAGCACCCAUUCAACACCUCCAGAUUCAUGUCUCCCCUGCUCCCCGAGCAGGUUGGUUCCUUGGGCCGGCUCCUCCAGGGGAACCAGCAGGCAGCCAGGCCAGGCGAGUGUGCGCCUCCCCCAGGGCCAUGCCCAGGGCUAUGCUCACUGCCUGGUGCCCCACAGCCAGCUGGGCUGAAAGCUCUGCUGAGCCAGCCCUACAACCAGCUGUCUGCUCAGCUGUCCACAGGGCAGCCCUGACCAGGUCCAGUUCACCCACAGCUCUUGGUCCAGGAGACACUGGGUGCCGCUAGAGAUGAGGGAAUCCAAGCCCUGCACGCGGGCCUCCCCACCAGGCUUUGCCUUUGAAGGAGAUAACCUACUGUUCACCUGGGCCCUGGCCCGGGAGAGCUCAGAGCUUCAUGGGCUGGGCUGAGGCCCAGCCUGGGCAGCAUGUGUGCCUGUAAGGCCCACGCUCCGUCUUCCCUGAAAGGCCCAAAUAUGCCUGUCACCAGCCCAGACACCCCCACUCCCACCCCCAGGGCAAGGCUGGCUUGAAACACUUAAAUCCUGGGUCCUUGUCACUGUGUUUACAGAAGGAACCACCCAUCCACUGUCAGGCUGGGCUGGGAGCCCAGAUGCAGGUCCCUGAGGAUGCUAAGGGCUUGCAGGAGGGGACUGUGCAGGUCAGCCUGGCAGUGGGCGCCUCCCCAGGGCCAUGCCCAGGGCUAUGCUCACUGCCUGGUGCCCCACAGCCAGCUGGGCUGAAAGCUCUGCUGAGCCAGCCCUACAACCAGCUGUCUGCUCAGCUGUCCACAGGGCAGCCCUGACCAGGUCCAGUUCACCCACAGCUCUUGGUCCAGGAGACACUGGGUGCCGCUAGAGAUGAGGGAAUCCAAGCCCUGCACGCGGGCCUCCCCACCAGGCUUUGCCUUUGAAGGAGAUAACCUACUGUUCACCUGGGCCCUGGCCCGGGAGAGCUCAGAGCUUCAUGGGCUGGGCUGAGGCCCAGCCUGGGCAGCAUGUGUGCCUGUAAGGCCCACGCUCCGUCUUCCCUGAAAGGCCCAAAUAUGCCUGUCACCAGCCCAGACACCCCCCACUCCCACCCCCAGGGCAAAGGCUGGCUUGAAACACUUAAAUCCUGGGUCCUUGUCACUGUGUUUACAGAAGGAACCACCCAUCCACUGUCAGGCUGGGCUGGGAGCCCAGAUGCAGGUCCCUGAGGAUGCUAAGGGCUUGCAGGAGGGGACUGUGCAGGUCAGCCUGGCAGUGGGCCCCGCCUUCCCUAAGCCAUCCAGCAGGAAGGCCUUGGUGCUCAGACUGUGCCUGCCCCUCCCCAGCCUUCCCCGGAGGCAGACCACCAUCUAUCUCUGCUGCCCUGAUGGUGACAGAGACUCUGGUACCUCAAGAAGCCACUUGGCGAUGUACCCCCCAGCAAAGCCCUGACAGCUAGGCAGGCAUGACAUCUCCUCUGCAGGUGACCUAGGAUGGCCAGCAGGGUGGGCAGGGGGCAUGUGUAGGCAUGAGGUAUUUUCCCCAACCUUGACCCUGGACAGAGUGUUAAGAUCCAAUUGACCCCAUCUCCCCUAGUGAAGGCCUCCCUGGGAAGAUAACCCUCAAAGAGAGGUUUGUGCAAAACGAAGUGCUAACCCACAGCAUCGUCACAGCCGGAAGUAACCAGAACUCAUGUCCUCACAGAGCCUGUGUGCCAGGCUCUCACUGGUUCCUCAUUGGAUCCUCAAGGUAACUGUGGGAGGCAGGCAUUAUUAACAGUCCCAUUUUGCAGAUGAGAACACUGAGGCACAGGAGAGUAAGCAACUGGCCUGAAGUCAUGCAAUUGGUAAGUGAUGAAGCAGCUUGGCUUAUGGGCCGCACACCUUGCUCACUCAUCCUGCCUCCCGCACACUCUGGAUGCCGUUUAGCCACACCAGUGAUGGGCACAAAGGUGGUUUCCUGUUUUUCGUUCUUGAGACCAAUGUAAAAGAUAGCUGGCCAGUGUUCCAGGUUUCCCCAGGGGAGGUACUCAGAACGUGAACGGAUGGGUGCGCGUCUCAGCGGACCAGAUAAACCCAGAGUGUCUCUACUCCACUGCCACUUACAGGGGCAGGGGAGGGAGCAUUAACAGGAAGAGAAGAGAAGUGGGCAGAAGAGAAGACAGGGUGGGGAGGAAGAAAGGAAGGGAAUGUGGAUGAAUGGGAGGGGAGGGUGGGAGGAAAGGAGAAAGGAUGGAAGAGAAGAAGGGAGGACGGGAAAUUUGGUGAGAGCCUGGGAGGGAAGGUGGGCGGGGCGGGGGCGGUGGGCGGGGCAAGCUGGUGGUAAAUGGGUAGGUUAUUAGAGAAGUUGCAGAGGCAGUGAUCCUGGCUUGGCCCCACCCACAUACAGACCUAAGGGUUACUUACCUGGAGCCUCACGAGGCUGGGGUGCAGCCCAGGGUCAGCUCCAGCGGUCACCUGCUCCCCUCCUCUCCUUGGCUCCACCAAGUUCCUCGCCAUCCACGCUCACCACCAACCCCGCCUCCAGACUGGGUCCCUCCAGCUGGGCAGAAGCACAGCUGUGGGUGUCCCUCGGACCCUCCUCCCAC
ensembl:lncRNA